UACGAAGGGGGCUAGCGUUGUUCGGAAUCACUGGGCGUAAAGCGUACGUAGGCGGUCCAUUAAGUCGGGGGUGAAAUCCCAGGGCUCAACCCUGGAACUGCCUUCGAUACUGGUGGUCUGGAGUCCGGGAGAGGUGAGUGGAACUCCUAGUGUAGAGGUGAAAUUCGUAGAUAUUAGGAAGAACACCAGUGGCGAAGGCGGCUCACUGGCCCGGUACUGACGCUGAGGUACGAAAGCGUGGGGAGCAAACAGG
rnacentral:rRNA from 1 species